ensembl:rRNA 5S_rRNA 5S ribosomal RNA
GUCUAUGGCCAUACCACCCUGAACGCACCUGAGCUUGAUUGAUCUCAGAAGAUAAGCAGGGUCGGGCCUGGUUAGUACUUGGAUGAGAGACUGCCUGGGAAUACCGGGUGCUGUAGGCC